UACGUAGGGGGCAAGCGUUGUCCGGAAUCAUUGGGCGUAAAGCGCGCGUAGGCGGUCCGGUAAGUCCGCUCUGAAAGUCCGGGGCUCAACCCCGGGAGGCGGGCGGAUACUGUCGGGCUAGAGUCCGGAAGAGGCGAGUGGAAUUCCUGGUGUAGCGGUGAAAUGCGCAGAUAUCAGGAGGAACACCGAUGGCGAAGGCAGCUCGCUGGGACGGUACUGACGCUGAGGCGCGAAAGCGUGGGGAGCAAACAGG
rnacentral:rRNA from 1 species